ensembl:lncRNA
GGAGGUGACACAUGAGUGUGUUCCACUGGGGACAGCUGGCAUGUGAGGCCUCACCUGGGUGACAACAGCAGAUGGUGCCUGGCAACCCACUGGGCUCAGUGCAUCCUCCUUGCUGGACUGGGAUUCAAGGGGGAGAAGGCUUGGGAGAAGGGAAAUUGAGUGAUAUUAGGGGAAAGGGGACAAAUUAGACCUCAUCAAGCAUGCAGCUUCUACAAAAAGGGCUGUGAUGUGGCUCUUGCAACGUGCACAAGCCAAUGGCAGAGCAAGGCAGCAGGAUGCUCACGUCAGGUAAGAGUGAAAGGGAAAGGUGCAUUUCUCAGAAGAAUGAGACCCAAUUGCCCACCAGAAAGGAAGGAGGUAUGGACAUCACUUUGGAUUUUGAUGAAAAAAAAUAUAUAUUAAGAAAUAAAAGAAAACCUAUAUUUAGCUUCCGACUUCAGACACAGCGUGAGGAUUCCUAUAGUAACAUCUGCUAUUCCCCUCCCCUGUUUAAUUUAUGGCCGUUAACUUUAGGGCUAAGGACAGUUUAUGGAAAAAAACACCUGCUUUCUCCUACUCCCAGGGCAAGGGUGGAAUUUUCUCUGACUCUGCAUCCUAAAUAAAGCUCCGUUCCAGGCCCCGAUGAUUCAUAGCACGGCUCAUGCACACAUGCCUUAUGUUAGGAGGCCCUGUCAGAUGCUCAUGCCCCUUUCUCCAGGACUCAAGCACAGAGUUCAUUUAUACACAUCACUGGGGCCAUUCUGGGGGAAACCUGAGCCCAGAGGUCCCACCGUGCCCACCUCCUGCAGAAAAGCUCUGUCCACGUUAUGGUCAGUGGGAUUGCAGUAAAUCCUCCCAGUCUGGGCCUGAUUUUGCUGCUUCCCAGCAAAGUGCAUCUUCUCCAAAUGCACCUUAAACAUGCACCGAGCUCAGCCCUUGCUCUGCUUGCUCAGCAAGGCAGUAUGUCAUCCCUCCAACAAAGAUCCCUGGCUCUGCUGCUGUCAGCAUGAAAGAUGGCCCCAAGCUUUCACUCAGGGUUGCUUGUCAAGAAGUAAAACACAUAAGGAAAAAAAGAUAAAGCUGAAAAGAAAGUAAAAAUGGGAAUUGUUGGCAGCAAAAGGAAGAUAAAACACGCACGCUCAUCCAAGCUCAUGUCUGAAAACUGAUAGGCAGCACUCACACAGCAUACAAAGACCUCCCACAGAGUGCAGUGCUGUGAUCUGGAGCAUCCUGCAGACCUGAAGCCCCAACGAGACUUUGCCCACCCCACGAUGCACCCUUAUGGGGUGGGGGCUCCUCAUCAUUCAGAGCUGGGAGCAAAGCGUGGUGGUGGUGGUGGAGAGAAGGCUUUGACUAAUCUUGUAACCUUUCCUUUUAGUGUUUAAGAGAACCGAAGUCUGUUUACAAUAAAACAGAGUGAUAUUUUUCAUCCUUCCAAAUGGAACAAGGGUUAUAUAAACAAAGUAACCUCAGACACAGCAAACACCUGUUGGAGGGAACUGGCUCACAAAGACACGCACAAGCUAUCUGUCUAUCUAUCAAGGCCUCCCGUUGACUUGUGGUCAAGUUCAAGUUGAAGUGCACGGCACAGAUUUGCUGAUGGAAGAAGGCUGUGAUAAGCAAAAGCAUUAGUGAGCGCCCAUGGUUUCUGCUCCAGAGGUUAGCAGAGCAGUAAGGAAUAGUUUAGGUCUGAAUGUACCCAAAUAAUUUCUCAGCCAGAUUGGAGCAGUUUUCCCUGUUCUCUGGUAUCUCACUUCCAAGAAGAAACCCCAAAUCAGGAAGUUAUGGAAUAAACUGUUGCAAAUCUCCCUGUCUUCCUUCUACUCCCUAGCUCAUGUUUCAGUCCUGCACCAAAAUAUGUAGGCUUUGAUUUCUUCCAAACUGCUGCGGUUUUGAUUUUUCUCCCGAAGUAAUCAAACUGAAUGCAACUGUGUGCACAUGAUCCUACAGGCAGGCCAAUGAAAUCAUUAAGCCUUUGGGCUUCAAUGGUGUCUUGUGGUGGUGGGUUCCGCAAAUUAAUUAUGCAUCUCUUGCCACAGUAUGAGGCUCCACCGUAUCUUUGCUAAUUACCAUCCUAAUGCAGCAAGAUCAGCUGUGUCAUUUCCUUUUAUUCUGCCUUUUUUUUUUUGUUUCACAAAGGUUUCUCAAAACCACCCGGAACUGUGCCAGGAAGUCCUACACCUGUGAUCCAGCAAUGACUUAGGGUGAGCUCUAAAGUAAUGCAGAAAUCACAGAAUCACAGAAUUGCAGGUGUUGGAAGGGACCUCCAGAGUUCAUUGAGUCCAACCCCAAAUGGAAGACCUCCAACAACCCUGGCUUGGCUUGCUGUGCUGUCGGGUCCUCCUGACAUCCCUUCAGCACAGAAGCCUGUGGGGAGAUAAUCCAGGAGAUACCGCAGCAUCCCGCAGUAGGGAGGGUUCUUGGAAAGCCAAGCUGUGAAGGUACAGACUAAGAAAAAAAAUAUAAAAAAAGCAGACUGGAAUAAAAUAACUGCUCCUUGAGCUGCCUCUUGCAGAUCCUUGUUGGGCAGGCUGGCUGCCUGGGGAUGGAGUUCCACACAGCUCUGUGCCUCUCACUGGUAUCUAUAGGCUAACGCAGGAGCAGCCACUGUAACUCAACUUCAAGCAUUAGGGGCAGAUGAUCCAUACUGAUCCAGGCAGCCCUACCAAAGGAUCACAAGCCCGGACGUGCUCUGGAUGAGCAGCUAUGACUGCUUUGUCUGCAUCAGGUCCUGGAGAGUGCAGCAACAGCCCUGGCCACCACCUCCUGGCUCUGUCCCUCCACCUUCACCUUCCCCCUCCGGUUCCCCAUUCCAGCACAACUGAGCUUGGCUCUGCCUCCCCAUUCUUCAGACAACAACAUGCAGCUCUGCCUAAGCUGCUGAGAAACCUUGAGCUGUGUUUCAAAAACCCCACUCCCACCGCAGCCAGCGUCAGUGGCUGCAAGCCUCACCCAAGCCAACGGAGCAGCACGGAAAGACACCACCUGACUUACUUGGCUCUAACCCUUUGAUUAUUGACUUCAAUGGGAAGAAACGCUGGGCCUCCAUGACUUCUUGCUGACCCCAGAAGAAGUUUAAGCAACAAACUGUUCUCUUGUCCUCUGCAGCUCCCAGAGGAGCUCCCAGUGGAACAGACCACGAGUGUGUGCAAGGUAAGCAGCCCAGUGUUUGGAGAGCACAACAACGCCAAGGCUGAGAAUGCUAAUUGUUCUCCAUUGCCCCCAGUGAUUUUAGCAUUUCAUAACUCCUCUGCUGGCUGACAGCUGGAUUCUUCUCUAAUUAGAAACCAGUUGUAGCUGAAAAAUCAGACAUUUCCUGGAAUUUAAAUAGCCAGUUUUCCACCAGUCAGAAUCCAGCAACGCAACCGUACAGUCCUGUUCUAAUCAUGCUGGGGAGCACAGUGGAUAAGUAGGGAAAAGGGGAUUCUGAGGACUUGACUUUCCUGCCUUCAGAUACACACAUUCCUGGAUCUUCACAUUCCGGCUAAUCUUGUAAGCUGAUAAUUUUAUUUUUAAAGAAGGAAGUAAUACUAUUCAUCGAUGCAACUGCAAUUCAGUCUUUUUCAAUUCUUCAAUACUGGGGAUAAGGCUGUUAAAGACAGAACUGGCAGCUGACGAUACGAUUACUCAUUUAUUCUUUAGGAAACACAUUUAUUAAUAACUAAAGCAGAAUUAAUAUUGAUUAUUUCCUUAGCUGAUUGAUGCAGGACUGGACCACUUUCUCUCUGUUCAAGUUGCUGUGGUGGUAAGGAAUAAAAAACUCAGAACUCCCCCACCUUCAACUAUCGAAAAGGCACAAGGAAAAGGAUUUGGACAGCUGCUGGUCUCCAGGAAACUCCACAAGCAGAGAUCGUCAGCCCUGUAAUCCUAAUUACAUCCUUGGGGACUGACAGAGAAGACAGACCUGAACACACACCAGUGCAAGCAGGAACAGCAACACCGUUUGACAGCCCGUCUUCUCAGCUGCUCUUUUCCGUUCCAGAGCACACAAAUGUAUUUUUCAAUCUAUCUCCUGUGGUCGUGGGAGAAAAAUAACCCUUCAGCUGUGUGUGAUUAAAAAGGGCAAUGCUUGAGUUUGCAAGCAGCCUGAAAAGGACUGGUAGAGGUUUGGGAGCUUGCCUGUCCCUGUGAGCUGUGUACCAAGGCCUUCUGAAGAGAUGCCACUUAGCUGCAUCUUUGCCUUCAUUAAGAGAGGACAACCAUAAGUAGAAAUGGGCACUGUGUACUUAAUGUGACCUCUGAAUAUGUGAUGAUGACAUGAAGAGCUGCCCCAGAUUGAAAACCCUGACGCAAGAGCUCAGAUGUGAUUGCACCUGGGGCAUCUGCAUACCAAGUAAUUUCCAGAGAAAGUUAUUUUAUUUGUGAAAGAAAUUUACUUUCUCAAAAAGCAACAACCUAUAUUGCUUUUUGUUUCUUCUCUCUUUCCCUUGAGGCAGCAGGGUUUCCCCCAGGAUAUCCAUUCUCGUGGCCUUGUCUAUUUUGUCAUCACGUGAGAAGCUCACAAAUGAAAUCUACUGUCAGUGUCUUCUGCCGGAAUCAGAACCUUCAUUCCAAGAGGAUGGAUCAACAGAUUACCUUUGGCUCACCAAGAGAAUCAAAGAAUCACAGAAUGAUGGGUUGGAAAGGACCUCAAAGAUCAUCCAGUUCCAGCCCCCUGCCAUGAGCUCCCCAGCCACCAAAUCAGUCUCUAGAGCAGGCUGCCCAUGGCCCCAUCCAUUCUGGUCUUGGGCACCUCCAGGGAUGGGGCACCCACAACAACUCUGAGCGACCUGUACCAACACGAACCUCUCUUUUACUCACAAAAAAAGUGCAGUGCUUUGGGCAAUGGCCUCCUGGAAAGCAUCUGGAGAGGCAGCAGGUAUUGCACAUACACACAGACAGAGUCAAACCAGAGGCAUUUGCACAUCUGAGACCUUACAGCAUUAUUCCAUCUCCAGCUCAUUUAAAGCACAGGUGAGAAGCUGUGGCAAAUGCUCUGGAAACGACACAGAUCAUCAUGCUCUACAGUUUGUCCCCAGACAGCAUCCUGUCCAACGCGUGGUUUGCCAGAUGCAUUUAAAAAGCUUCCUGGCCUUCAGCAAGGAAAAGAGAAAACAAGGAAGAACACCUGUUUUAAGGAAUAGCAGCAAUUCUGGAGAGCAUAUGCAGAGGCUUCCAGAGGGGUUUUAAAAUGGGCUUGUCAAGCAACAUAAAUGGAAUGUUAUUCCUAAAGUUUAUUCUGAGAUUUAUGCAUACUUAACCCAUAAACCCACAGCAAACAAACACUGCAUAAAAGCCCCAUGGGUAAACAGAAAUAACAAAGCCCACAUAGAUCGCUAUGGUUGCAUUGGAGGAAAUCUCUUUGGAAGAGGCUGCUUGACUCACGCUCAACCUUUCUGCCCAUGCACAGCUUCCUAUAGCAUGCAGGAGGAUAUAUUUCAUCUGGUGGGGGCUCUGAUGCCUGUCCAGCAAAUCCACGAUGCCAAGCUAAACCUUCGCCUGGUUAUUAGUGCUUGAAAGGGUAAGGUGUUAUGAGUGUUACUCUCUGGAACCAGGAAUGAAAGCUUCCAUCCACCCUGCUGCUGCUGAGCUGCCUCCAGCCCAGCUUGGAGCCUUCACUCUGGGGGAAAAGAGGAAACCAUCUGGCCUUGUGGGAUGCCUAAAGCGCUCAGUCUUUUAGCCAGAAAGCUGCUCUUACAGAAAGCUCUACUGCGUGAUGACUACAGGACAUCGCCGUGACCUGAGCAACCCUGUGUAGCUUCAAAGCUGAUCUUCCUUUGGCUGGCACCAGAGGGUCUCCAGAAGUCCCUUCCAAGAUAAAUAUUACGUGGUUGUUACAACUGCUUUGGCAUAGGAAUCCCAGUAUUCAUAAGAUGAUAAAUCCCAGAGGUAGGCUCCGAUGUGCAAGCAGCUGAUGGCACAGCAUGGCCCUGCCCUAGGAAGCAGCACAGACUGGGAAGCAAACAAACUGGGGAGAUUGGAGAUAAGAAAGAGGAUUUUUAUGACAAAUGUGAUGAGGCACUAGAACAAGUUGCCCAGAGAUGCAAUACAACCUAUCUGUGGAGACAUUCAAGGUCAAGCUGGACAGGGGCUUUGAGCACCUGAUGGAGCUGUAGCUGUCCCUGUUCAUUGCAGGGGAGUUGGAUCAGAUGGCGCUUAAGGGUCCCUUUCAACUCAAACAAUUCUACGUUAUGGAUCCCUUCUAACAAAAUAAAAUAAAAUAAAAUCCCGAAAUAAACCAGAAAUCCCUUUGAAGGACAUCCACAUCUUAACAUGAGAGGUUGGCAGGUAGCAACAGAGCUGCAGUAAAUUCCUGCAGACCUCCAGGCUUAUUUACGAGGCAUCUCAGGCACUAUAAAUGGCUUUUAUUUUUGUGAAACAUGCCAGGAAAGGAGGGGGGGAGCUAGACAAAGGAAGGAGGGCUUUGCUUGAGAAGACACCCAAACAAGCUAGGAUGAAGAAGCUGUACAAUGCCCUGGAUGAGCAUCAGGCCCACAUCCCGCUCCCCUGCGGAUCAUGGCUGGGAACAAGAGGCAGUGAGAACACUCAUUACUAUUGACCUUGUCCUCAUGCUGAUGCUAAAAAGCUGCUUCUCUACCCGCUUUAGGUGACCCUGACACGAGCCUUGAAGGAACAUCAGUAAGAGAUAUCCCAAUUAAAUCUAUUUGGAAGCUAUUCAGCACAUAUUUUCCCCUUUCCAAGACAGCAAGGCUGUGACUAACCAAAGACAUUUGGGAGAAGUUUUUGCUUUCCCUG